UGGGAAGUCUGUUCACAAAGCUCUGUGACUGCAUGAGCUAUGGCUCACUGAAAAUACUUAACCUGGGUUCCCCACUACAGAGCCAGAGAGGUUAUCAUUGGUACACUGCAUAACCUGUCUGCAAUAGCUUUAAAACCUAAAAAAAUAAAAUACUUGGGAUCUGAUAUACUCAGAACAACUGAACUACUCCUUGUCCAUUCUGCACCCAUCAGGGAUACAUAGAAGGUCCUGAAGUUCUAGAGACGCCGAUAAAUGGACUUGCACUGCUAGAAAAACACACAAGGAGCAUGGAUCAGUAUAUCCGAAGGUUAAAGCAAGAACUG